rnacentral:lncRNA from 1 species
UGGAAGUUGAAGCAGCACUUGUCAGGCACAGCUGGGGCUCUCUGGGCCAGGCUCUGGCAGCACAGCGCAGUGAGGAGGAGGAGGAUGCAGAAGGCCCCAGCUGCCUUGGCCAUGUUGGGCUGUUGGAGGGCUGCGGGCUGCUCCGCUUUCCCUUCUGCUUGGGAUGGGACCGCUGGGCUGCUUUUAUGGUGCAGCAGCAGUGCUGGCUCCCAUGAGGUUAGUAGUUGCGCGGACAGGGGGAGGACCUGAUCGCUGGAUGUGUCCCAAAGAAUAGAGGGUGGGUGGUAUCCUUCCCAUCCCAGAACAUCUUGAGAAGAAAAAACAGCUCCCAGACUCUGAGGGGCUUGGGAUUUUCUAAAUCUCUUCCUGUAACACUGGGGCUGGUGGCCAGUUUGUUCCUCCAGUUUGGCUCUGCACCCCAAUCCCUGGGCAGGUUGUAUGGCCAUGGAGGGGUGCAUGGGACAGGACAGUGUCCAGAGCCGUGCAGGGUCCCACACAGCCAGACAUGGUCCCGACAAAGAAGGGAGCUGCCAGUCCAUGGGAGCACAGUAAUGCGUCCCCCUGAUUUGUGUCUCAGUGGGGAGGCAAAUGGCCAGUCUCAGUCCUGAC